rnacentral:rRNA from 1 species
UACGUAGGGUGCAAGCGUUAAUCGAAAUUACUGGGCGUAAAGCGUGCGCAGGCGGUGAUGUAAGUCUGACGUGAAAGCCCCGGGCUUAACCUGGGAAUGGCGUUGGCGACUGCAUCGCUCGAGUGUGUCAGAGGGGGGUAGAAUUCCACGUGUAGCAGUGAAAUGCGUAGAGAUGUGGAGGAAUACCGAUGGCGAAGGCAGCCCCCUGGGAUAACACUGACGCUCAGGCACGAAAGCGUGGGGAGCAAACAGG